UUGGAGGCUGGAGUUGCAACUGACAGCUGCUGGAGCUGUUUGAGGCCUAGAGCUUAGAGCCUCUGGUGCUUGUAGCCUGCUUGCUUGGAGGGACUCGAACCUGGGAUUCUUUGUUGCUGUUACUUUUGGAAGCCUGCAUUUCUUCUUGGUCCUCAUCCCGUUUCCUAGCUAUGUCAUUGGUACCGAUGUGCACCACGACUUCUGGCUGGUCUCCCUCCUCCUCAAGAAUCCUGAAGACUCGAUCCGAGACAUCCCUGACCCUGGCAUCUGGGAGGCAACAUACCAUCCGGGAGUCUCGCUUGGUACUACAGAAUCUCCUGUCUGUUCCCCUAACCAUUGAAUCCCCUAUCACUAUCACUCUCCUAUUCUCCCCCCUUCCCUUCUGGGCCACAGAGCUAGGCUCAGUGCCAGAGACCUGGCUGCUAUGGCUUUCCCCUAGUGGCCCUCCCCAAAACAGUAUCCAAAGCGGUAUACUUAUUAUUGAGGGGAAUGGCCACAGGGGAUCCCUGCACUGUCUAUUCCCUUUCUCCCUCCUGACAGUCACCCAGCUACCUUUGUCCUGUACCUUGGGUGUGACCACCUCCUUAUAACUCCUCUCUCUCACCCCCUUAGCGUCCCGAAUGAACGUGGUCUGUGAGGAGCUGGAGUUGGGUGCACUUUUCACAGGUGAAGUCAAAAGGGACACUGUAGUGACCCUUACCUCCCACAUCCUACAAGAGGAGCAUGCAACUGUCCUAGCUUCCAUUCCCUCUGCUGUAGAUUGCCAUAAGAAUAAA